rnacentral:rRNA from 1 species
CAGCAGCCGCGGGAAUACGUAGGGUGCAAGCGUUAAUCGGAAUUACUGGGCGUAAAGCGUGCGCAGGCGGUUAUAUAAGUCGGAUGUGAAAUCCCCGGGCUCAACCUGGGAAUUGCAUUUGAGACUGUAUCGCUAGAGUGUGUCAGAGGGGGGUAGAAUUCCACGUGUAGCAGUGAAAUGCGUAGAUAUGUGGAGGAAUACCGAUGGCGAAGGCAGCCCCCUGGGAUAACACUGACGCUCAUGCACGAAAGCGUGGGGAGCAAACAGGAUUAGAUACCCCUGUAGUCCCUGUCUCUUAUAC